rnacentral:rRNA from 1 species
GACGAACGCUGGCGGCGUGCUUAACACAUGCAAGUCGAACGGAAAGGCCCUGCUUUUGUGGGGUGCUCGAGUGGCGAACGGGUGAGUAACACGUGAGUAACCUGCCCUUGACUUUGGGAUAUCUUCAGGAAACUGGGGCUAAUACCGGAUAGGAGCUCCUGCUGCAUGGUGGGGGUUGGUAAGUUUCGGCGGUUGGGGAUGGACUCGCGGCUUAUCAGCUUGUUGGUGGGGUAGUGGCUUACCAAGGCUUUGACGGGUAGCCGGCCUGAGAGGGUGACCGGCCACAUUGGGACUGAGAUACGGCCCAGACUCCUACGUGAGGCAGCAGUGGGGAAUAUUGCACAAUGGGCGGAAGCCUGAUGCAGCAACGCCGCGUGCGGGAUGACGGCCUUCGGGUUGUAAACCGCUUUCGCCUGUGACGAAGCGUGAGUGACGGUAAUGGGUAAAGAAGCACCGGCUAACUACGUG